ACUUCAAGUGCCUAGAUACAGUCAGUGGGAAUACCAAACAGUGACCUAUGUCUCAAUUCUAGGUCCAAUGGGAAAUUUCUUCAGAAAGCUGAAGAGACACUAAAGAGGAGGAGGAGGUUUUAUUUUUACAGGAAAAUAUCAGUUUCCAAAAACUUUGGAGGAAUUUGGAUACUACUUUA